UUGAAAAAGAGAAUGGUCAAAGAGAUCACCCUUAUGAAGACCAAUAGGAAGCAUAUAAUGGAAAAGAGGCCAUAAUUGCUUCUUGCAGAACCCGUGGUAAUACUUCUUAUAAAGAUCAGGAGAAAGGAAGGUUGGCAUGCACCCAUAUUCUUCCAAUAGCUUUUGAGAAACUACUUCUUGCUCACGGACAUCUAUAUCAGCCUUCAAACAUCCAACAUAUAUGACUUCAGUAUCAUAAGAAAAUCCAUCUUUCAGUUGUAGCAGCAGUGCAUCCUCAUCCCAUGUGAAGCACCAUUCUCCAGUCAUUUGAUCUUUCAUAGAGUUUAGCGGAAGGAAGUUUGCUACUAUGAUUUUACGAUCACAGAAUAGUGAUGUGGUAGUACAAGAGUCUUCAUCAGUGCAUGCUCCUUCAUCUGCGUCAUUUAUUAUUCCUGGAGUUGUCAUUACUCUAGGAAGUGAUUUAAUAGACAUACUGAAGUCUA
rnacentral:lncRNA from 1 species